CGACUGAGCCAUCCAGGCGCCCCAAGAAUGAUUAGUGUUAACCGUAGGGACUCUGUGUGAGGACAGUACCCUUCACUGCCAUUUCUGCCAUCUGGUUCCUCUUACCUGACAAAUGGGGGUCAGGUGGUGUGUACCCAGCCAACAGCUCUCAAGACUCUUCUCUUACGAAAAUGGAAAUGUUGGACUAUGGUUGGGAUCUUUGGAACAGAGGUCUGUGAUGUCUCCAAAAGACACAGAACCAAUUGCCUUUAAACAGCUAAGAUUCCAUCAGAACCUGGAGUGACAGAUCCCUUGGAUCUUCAAAGUCCUGGGCCUCUGAGUCAGUUAAGGGAGAUCUCUUGUUCUUUUUUGUAUAAUCCCAAUCAUGAGAUCUCUAAAGUCAACUGACUAAUAAAAAACUGUGCCUUCAUCAUUGACCCCCCAACCUGAUAACAUCCUCAUUGACUAAUCUUCCCAAUUGAUUUGCCCUUUGGUCUAAUUUUCUACUUGGUGUUUGCCUGAUUGAGAAAUCUGUUCCAUCCAUGGUUCCUGGACAGUCAGCAUUCACAACAACUGAGGUUCCACACUGGCUGUCCUUUGACAGACUUUCCUCUUCCAUCUCAUAUCUUCAGAGUCACUUUCAAAGCUCUCCCUAAGUUUCUUGUCAUACUUCUAUGAAGGUGAACAGUUAAAUCAAUAGUUUUUAUCUGCUUUGCUGUCAGAAUUCAAUGAUCUGUCACAGCUCUUGCCCAAUUCACCUAAUUGUUACUGUUCAAAUGUUUUUAUCUCUGUUUCAAGUAUUGGGUUAACUGGGCUAGUGACCCACCUCAGAGUUAAACUUUGAAGUGUAACGUUAACAACAUUUUACUAUACUUUCCCACAACUCAGAACACAUACUAUUUUUAUAUUUAGUGUUUAAUCUAACGGCAUACAUCUUUGCAACUAUCCUGCAAGAUUUUUCCUGUAUUUUCUACCUGGGGAGGUUUUUACUUACAAUCAUUCUUUCCUUAAUCACCUCACAAAUCCUUUGGUCUCACCAAUCGUUGCUCCAAACCCAUAGACCAAACAUAACUUACUCUAAGUGAUGAAUAAGAUGCUAUGGUUCCUUGAUAUUCACAUCUGAAUUUAGUCACUUACAGAUUUUCAUAAAACAGACCUCUCACUUCUACAACUGGGAGUGUUUAUAAAUUGUUUAUGUUAAACAAUUCCCCCAUGAUGCUUUUCAUAUUGAAUAAAGUAACACUUUUAAAUCAA